GCGGGGCCUUUGUGUUGCACUUCACUGAGGGCCCCGGGGUCCACUGGGCGCCUGCUGGGCUUAAACUGCAGUGCCUGGGCCACUUUCCAUCCUGUGUUCCAAACCCCGUUUCACGUGCACUGUCUCUGGCUAAAGGUCCAGGUGCUUGGAACAGCUUUUAUGAAUCGGAAACUGGACAGAAACCAGCCUGAGGCCGUGCGAGCUCCCACAGCCCUUGGAGGAAAGCUGUUUCCCAUCUCCAGCCAGAGAAGCUGCAGGGAUGCCUUCGGGCUUGACUUGGUCAGCAGGGAGCUGGAAGGGUCAAGAGCUGUGGGUGGGGAGCCCUCAGUCUCCUGGACUGAGUGAGAAACGGUGGGUGAGCAGCCAUGGCCACAGCGAUGAGCCCGGGAUGGUUUCCCGUGUGUGGUUCGGGCCACGUGUUCCGGCCUCUGAUGGGCAUUACUGUGGCCCCCCAGGGACACAGAGCAGGGCCAGCCCUCCCUGGCACAGGGCCAUUGUGAGCCAGUCCCUCCUGAAGAUGGCCAAGUCCUCCCCGGCUUGGGGCCAGACCGCCUGGGUCUGCCCUGUGGUGACUGUUGCG
rnacentral:lncRNA from 1 species